rnacentral:lncRNA from 1 species
UUAUCCAGCCUUUUAAAAGGCGUUUUGGCCGUCUGGCAGAAGGAACCCAGCUAUCUAGGCAGCUGGCAUUGUUUUAGCUUCCUUCCUCCCUUACUGUCGACCAUUUUUGUGCAGCAAUGGUGAGGAUAUGCUGCAUGAAAAUGUGCAGUUAGGAUUGAUCCAGAAAUCCCAUUUAAAACUCUCCAAUUGACCUUCUUUUUUUUCAUUCGAUUAAAAACAAAAUUUGAAGAAAACAGAGAGAAAUUUAGAGAGAGAACUGGUGAGGAAAAGUAAGAGAAUCCGAGCAGGAAAGAGAGUGCAGAAAAAAAAACAACCGUGUGUGUGUAGUUCGGUGCUGAAGGGGAGCUCUGGUGAGUCUUCUUCUCAUAGAGUUUGCUUCCUUUUUGAUUCCAAAAUAGUCAGACGUCCUUCUUCCAGAAAUUUUAAACCCAGAAUUGCAGCAACUUCGCUGAACUGUUACUGCUACGCCUGCUAACCCCGUUAUGCAGAUAAAUUCGGGUUUCUACUUCUUUCUACUUCCAGAUUUCACUCAUUUUCUUAAUCCUAGAUUGUAAAUCGUUAGAAUUUUAGCAACAUGUUAGGAAUCGAUUAAACAAGCUGAAUACUCUUCAAAAAAACAAGAAAUUAAUCCCAUUUCUGCAGUAAUUGCAGAACUGUUCUUCAACCUUCAAAACCGACUCUGUCCUUGUAUUUUUCAGUUGAUUUCUGCUACUUCUUUGAGGUAAGAUGGGUAAUAUUCUAGAUUAUAUAAAUAUGACAUUUAUAGAUUGCAUUUCAUGGGGUAAUUCUCUUUAAAAUGCAUAAUGAUGUGGAGUUUUAAAAUAGAAAGGGUGAGUGUGUACAUUAUUGUGUUCAAUGUUUAUAUGAAUUGUUUUGUUGAUAUUUUUAUGUGGAUUUGUUGAUGAUUUAACUCAAACCAAUGACGAAGGUUAUUUGCAAACAGAAAAUGGGAAGCAAAGGGAUGAAACAGGGGCCCAAUUGCCUCUGUCAAGUAGGAUUCCCAAUUCCCUCUAGCAGAUUGCAAUUUCUAUAGUUGGUCGAGCCGGCGAGUGUUAGAGAUGUUCGUGUUGCGAUUUUUGUCAGUGAAUAAAACUUAAAUUUCUAUUGAUUUUAUUUUACCAAAAUUAAUAAUUUAAAAUGUGUUUAAAUAGAUUUAAAUUAAAUUUAAAUUUUUUAAAAUUAAUUUACUACUAUUUAAAAAAUAAAUAUAAAUAAAAUAUUUUAAAAGAUAAAUUCUCAAUAAUAACAUAAUUUUUUUUAAAAAUAAAC